ensembl:lncRNA
AGUAGCAACAGCCCUCGGCAGCCCAUCACAGAUGAAAUUUCUAUGAGAGGAGGUCUGUGAUCAAAGGCUGCAGGAUUCAUCCCUCCAGGGAUCCGGCACAGCUGGGUCAGGCCUUACCCCUAGGGAAACUGAGGAAAGAAGUCACGUCUGUCCACGUUGCAUGGGGAAACCAAAAGGAAAAAAAAGAAAAAGGCUACUUCUUAGUGACUACGAGGCCGCUCCAGAGGGGCCUCGCUGUCUUUUCACCACUGCUACAGUCUGAAGAUGGGAACAGUGGGAAAUAUUUGCAGAAGACAUCAGCCUGAUUAGCAUGUUUCAAUUACACUGAAUAGCCAAGAAGUUCCAAUUAAUUUCAAAAGUAAAAGUUGGCACCAGUUUAUAAAGAUUUCUCAUUCAUUGUGUAAAGAUGCUUUGAAAAAGCCAUCACCUUACUAACACUGCCAUGAGUUGAGCAAGCAAUCGUCUUUAGAGGGAGCUUCAGCAGGUUGCAGAGUUGUGAAGUGACUCUGCUUCAAGGAAGCACAGAAAGAUGCAUGAAGGAAGAAACCUAUGUCCAACCUUCUGCUUAAAGCAGGG